AAAGUCGUAACAAGGUCUCCGUUGGUGAACCAGCGGAGGGAUCAUUACCGAGUUUGCUUUUCUAGCUCGAAACCCACUGUGAACAUACCUCUCUUCUCGUUGCUUCGGCGGCGGUUCCUCGUCUGCGCUCGCUUCUGGCGGGUGUUGUCUAGGUCCUUAGCCGUCGGAGGGACGCAACCAAAACUCUUUCUUACUUUCAAGUAUUAUCUGAGUCGAUAUUUUAAUUAUCAAAACUUUCAGCAACGGAUCUCUUGGUUCUG
rnacentral:misc_RNA from 1 species